rnacentral:lncRNA from 1 species
AUAAAGGUGAGCCACAGACAUGCAGCACCACCAGAGACAACAACACCCCGUGGCAAGAAGACCAUGUUCUGGACUGUCUCCGUACUGCCACUUGUGCUCCAUGCCCAUUGCACAGGCCAGUUCAAUUCCCUACCAUCUGCCACCCAUGCUCUUCUUUGGGACUACAACUCUGGCCAAACGUGAAUAUGGAAAGCAGAGGCCCAGGGCCCUCUUGCAGUACAGACAUUUUGAGGGCACAGAAGAAGAAGAAAACCACAGGAGUCCCAUGAAGGUGCAGAGGUCUACACAGGAGUUCAGGAUAGACACCUUGCUGGCAGGACAUGGCCACAGACUCCUCUAACUUAUUCCCCAAAGUGCAAGAGCAGGUCUUCUUCAGUCCAUCCUUCUAACCUGUCCAGAGCAGCUGUAUGCUUACUGCCAGAUCGCUCUACCCUUCUGGGGCAACAGGACUCGAGCCCUGAGGACUCUGCAAAGCUAGGCCCCUGAUGGUCUACUAUGCUUAGAGACCAUUAUGCAUGGGGCUCUUUGGGCUUCUAAAGGGCUCCCUGGGAGAAACUGCCUUCCAAAUCUGACUACUAAGAUGAUACUAUGGGAACAGAUUGUGAGGACAGAAAGAAAAAAAUAAAUAAAAAUUAAAAACGUAGAAAAAAGAAAAAAAAA